UUAAUACUCCCUCCGACCCAUAUUACUUGUCUCAAAUUUGCCAAAAUAUGGAUGUAUCUAUGUUUAAAAAGCGUCUAGAUACAUGUAAUAUUUCGACAAGUAAUUCCGGCCGGAGGGAGUACUAA
rnacentral:pre_miRNA from 1 species